CGGCGCGCAAGAAGAAGGCAAAAAUGGUGGCAGCGCUGCAAGGUGCGUUAAAGGGAACCGAACUGUCGAAGGCAGUUCAGGGCAACGUGGAGAAACACCUGGCGGAGCAGCAGAAACAACAGCAUUCUGACCUGGACAAGCGGUACAUGGAGAGCCAGGAUCUGUCUUUAAUUAAAGACUGCCAGAAACUGCAGGAAGACUUCACAUCAUUCGAUGAAGAGUUGACAGCUCUGCGUGAAAUUAACAAGGGGCGUGAAUCCUCGUACGCCAAGCUAGAGUCUGAGCAGAAGGAGCUCUCCAAUUUAAAGGAAGAGCUGGAGGCUGAUAAGCGAGACCUGGUGCGCACGCUGGAACGUAAGUCGCGGGAGGUCGAGGGCCAGAGCCGUAAACGGGGACACUGUUUGUUUAUGGAAUCACCAGCUGUGCUGUGAAACUGAAGAUGGUGUGGAACUUGUGAAUGUAUUUCUUUCACUUAACGAGCUUAACGCUAACAUCAACCUGUCCAACUUGUACAGGGACGCAGCGGCGGAUGCGGAGGCGAAGAGCGAAGAGCUGAGCCAGGCCGUAGAAGAGCUGCUCAAGCUGCUGAAGGAGGCGGGGGAGGGUGAGAAGUGUGUCGAGUCUAGCGUUAACAUGCACAUGCCGUGACAUUACAGCUCCAGGCAGUCUUUUCUACAGUAAACGGACAUGUUUAAAUUAGGAACCGUUUAGAUCAGCAUUUUCACUCAGUUGGCUCAGAGUAAAAUCCACACCUAAAAUAAAAUAAUUAUUAGUAAAUUUAAAAAGCUCUUUCUGCUCCCAGAGCAGUUGGAGGAGGAGUGAAACGUAUGUAAUAAUCGGUACAGAUGUACUUUUGUUAUUUAUUUUUAUUUAAUUAUACUUCUUUUAACACAUUUUGACAGAAAAAUGGCAGGAAGUUCAAUGCCAGACGCUGAUCUGAAAAGAUCUGGCCAUGGGUCCUUCCAGGAAAAAACGGCUUAUGUUGGAGAUACCAAGCUGCAUGUAGUCAAUUGAUUUGACAACAGGUCAGCCACCUCCCCAGUAGCUAUGUGGGUGCGCACUCUGUAUCCCAUGUUGACAGAUAGGACAAAGGCCAGAAGAAAACCAUCAAGGUCCCUUGCCCUGCAGCAGUAUCCACAUACAAUCAGCACAUGGGAGGUGUUCACUUGUUGGAUUCCAUGAUUGCUUUAUAUCGCACAAACAUCCAUUCAAAUAAAUGGUACCACCGCCAAUGUUUUUAAUUUCAUAGAUAUGACGGUGUUGACAUGUUGGCUUAUCUACAGAAGAGAUUGUGCUGACAAUGGACUGACAAAAAAGGAGCAAAUGCACCUUUAUAAUAAUAAUAAUAACAAUAAUAAACUUUAUUUUAUUGAGCGCCUUUAAAAGCAGCUUCUCAAAGCACUGUACACAAAAUAAGCAGUUUUUUUUAUAUAAAAGUAAGAAUAACAAUAAUAAUAAUAAUAAUAAUAAUAAUAAUAAUAAUAAUCAAAGUAGACAUCACCAGUCAAACGCAAGUUUAAAAAAGUAUGUUUUAUGCCAAAGGCCUGAGCUUCCCUAAGUUCAAGAGGAAGAGAGUUCCAAAGGGAAGGAGCAGAGACCGAAAAAGCCCCGUCACCCACAGAUUAUAAGCGAGUUUGUGGAACAGUUAACAGAUUGCAUUGUAAGGAGCGCAGUCUGCGAUUUGGGGAGUAAGGAAUUAAUAACACAGAUAUGUAAUGAGGAGCCAAGCCAUGCAAUGCUUUGUAUGUCAGCAUCGUCAUUUUAAAAUCGACAUGGAACCUGACCAGGAGUCAGUGCAAGGACUCCAAGACAGCAGUAGUAUGAUUACAUUUUCUGGUCCCAGUCAGGAUCCUGGCAGCAUUUCAGCAUUUCGGAAUUCGGAAUUCGAUGGAGUAGGACGCGAAGUUGGAGGCUCCUGCUGAUUUCGAAUAAAAUUGUAAUUAAUUAGCGCUUUUUCGGUCAUACAACAUAUUUUGACUU